CCUACGGGAGGCAGCAGUGGGGAAUUUUGCGCAAUGGGCGAAAACCUGACGCAGCGACGCCGCGUGGAGGAUGAAGGCCUUCGGGUUGUAAACUCCUGUUAGAGGGGAAGAAGCCCCGCAAGGGGUUGACGGUACCCUCAGAGGAAGCCCCGGCUAACUACGUGCCAGCAGCCGCGGUAAUACGUAGGGUGCGAGCGUUAAUCGGAAUUACUGGGCGUAAAGCGUGCGCAGGCGGCUUUGUAAGACGGAUGUAAAAUCCCUGGGCUUAACUUAGGAACUGCGUUCGUGACUGCAAAGCUAGAGUGCGGCAGAGGGGGGUGGAAUUCCUGGUGGAGCAGUGAAAUGCGUAGAGAUCGGGAGGAACACCGAUGGCGAGGGCGGCUCCCUGGCCUAACCCUGACGCGGAGGCGCGAAAGCGGGGGGAGCAAACGGGA
rnacentral:rRNA from 1 species